rnacentral:rRNA from 1 species
AGAGUUUGAUCCUGGCUCAGGAUGAACGCUGGCGGCGUGCUUAACACAUGCAAGUCGAGCGAAGCACUUUUAUCUGAUUCUUCGGAUGAAGAUAGUUGUGACUGAGCGGCGGACGGGUGAGUAACGCGUGGAUAACCUGCCUCAUACAGGGGGAUAACAGUUAGAAAUGACUGCUAAUACCGCAUAAGCGCACAGAACCGCAUGGUUCAGUGUGAAAAACUCCGGUGGUAUGAGAUGGAUCCGCGUUGGAUUAGCUUGUUGGUGGGGUAACGGCCUACCAAGGCGACGAUCCAUAGCCGGCCUGAGAGGGUGAACGGCCACAUUGGGACUGAGACACGGCCCAAACUCCUACGGGAGGCAGCAGUGGGGAAUAUUGCACAAUGGGGGAAACCCUGAUGCAGCGACGCCGCGUGAGCGAAGAAGUAUUUCGGUAUGUAAAGCUCUAUCAGCAGGGAAGAAAAUGACGGUACCUGACUAAGAAGCCCCGGCUAACUACGUGCCAGCAGCCGCGGUAAUACGUAGGGGGCAAGCGUUAUCCGGAUUUACUGGGUGUAAAGGGAGCGUAGACGGAAUGGCAAGUCUGAUGUGAAAGGCCGGGGCUCAACCCCGGGACUGCAUUGGAAACUGUCAGUCUUGAGUGCCGGAGGGGUAAGCGGAAUUCCUAGUGUAGCGGUGAAAUGCGUAGAUAUUAGGAGGAACACCAGUGGCGAAGGCGGCUUACUGGACGGUAACUGACGUUGAGGCUCGAAAGCGUGGGGAGCGAACAGGAUUAGAUACCCUGGUAGUCCACGCGGUAAACGAUAAAUACUAGGGGUUGGG